CCUACGGGAGGCAGCAGUGAGGAAUUUUCCGCAAUGGGCGAAAGCCUGACGGAGCAAUACCGCGUGAGGGAUGAAGGAUUUUGGUCUGUAAACCUCUUUUCUCAAGAAAGAAGUUCUGACGGUACUUGAGGAAUAAGCAUCGGCUAACUCCGUGCCAGCAGCCGCGGUAAUACGGGGGAUGCAAGCGUUAUCCGGAAUGAUUGGGCGUAAAGCGCCUGUAGGUUGUUUAUUAAGUCCGUUGUUAAAGCCUAGGGCUCAACCCUAGAAAAGCAAUGGAAACUAGUAGACUAGAGUAUGGCAGGGGUAGAGGGAAUUUCUAGUGUAGCGGUGAAAUGCGUAGAUAUUAGAAAGAACACCGGUGGCGAAAGCGCUCUACUGGACCAUUACUGACACUCAGAGGCGAAAGCUAGGGUAGCAAAAGGGAUUAGAUACCCCUGUAGUCCUAGCCGUAAACGAUGGAUACUAGAUGUUGUGCAUUAUGUACAGUAUCGUAGCUAACGCGUUAAGUAUCCCGCCUGGGGAGUACGCUCGCAAGGGUGAAACUCAAAGGAAUUGACGGNNGAGAGNGCGAGACGACGACGAGGAGAG
rnacentral:rRNA from 1 species